rnacentral:rRNA from 1 species
GGGAAACUGAUAAUCUAGAGUAAGGGAGAGGCAGAUGGAAUUCUUGGUGUAGGGGUAAAAUCCGUAGAUAUCAAGAAGAAUACCUAUUGCGAAGGCGAUCUGCUGGAACUUAACUGACGCUAAUGCGUGAAAGCGUGGGGAGCAAACAGGAUUAGAUACCCUGGUAGUCCACGCCCUAAACGAUGUAUACCGGUUGUUGCUGUGCUAGUCACGGCAGUAAUCCACCUAACGGAUUAAGUAUACCGCCUGGGGAGUACGGUCGCAAGAUUAAAACUCAAAGGAAUAGACGGGGACCCGCACAAGCGGUGGAGCAUGUGGUUUAAUUCGAAGAUACGCGAAGAACCUUACCCGGACUUGAUAUCUAACAAAUCAUCCAGAGAUGGAAGAGUGUCUGCUUGCAGAAAUGUUAAGACAGGUGCUGCACGGCUGUCGUCAGCUCGUGUCGUGAGAUGUUGGGUUAAGUCCCGCAACGAGCGCAACCCACGUCAUUAGUUGCUAACGGUUCGGCCGAGCACUCUAAUGAGACUGCCUUCGUAAGGAGGAGGAAGGUGUGGACGACGUCAAGUCAUCAUGGCCCUUAUGUCCGGGGCGACACACGUGCUACAAUGGCAUAUACAAUAAGACGCAAUAUCGUAAGAUGGAGCAAAUCUAAAAAAUAUGUCCCAGUUCGGAUUGGAGUCUGCAACUCGACUCCAUGAAGCCGGAAUCGCUAGUAAUCGUAGAUCAGCCAUGCUACGGUGAAUACGUUCCCGGGUCUUGUACUCACCGCCCGUCACACCAUGGGAGUUGAUUUCACUCGAAGCGGGAAUGCGAAAUUCGCUACCCUCCACAGUGGAAUCAGCGACUGGGGUGAAGUCGUAACAAGGUAACCGUAGGAGAACC